AAAAAAGUUACUAAGGGCACAUGGUGAAUGCCUUGGCUCUCAAUGUCGAUGAAGGACGUGAUUACCUGCGAUAAGCUUCGGGGAGGUGGAAAUAACCUUUGAUCCGGAGAUCUCCGAAUAGGGAAACCUUUAGUAUUGAAGAUACUAAAUCUAAAUAGAAGACAACCCAGAGAACUGAAACAUCUAAGUACCUGGAGGAAAAGAAAACAACCGUGAUUCCCCAAGUAGUGGCGAGCGAACGGGGAACAGCCUAAACCAAAAAUGUUACGGCAUUUUUGGGGUCGUAGGACUGCAACGUGGACUUUUAAUCGAAAAUGGAAGCUGUCUGGAAAGCAGCAUCAUAGAAGGUGAUAAUCCUGUACAUGAAUUCGAUUAAAUACCUAGCAGUAUCCUGAGUACUACGGGGUCGGAGACGCCCUGUAGGAAUCCACCGGCACCAUCCGGUAAGGCUAAAUACAAUUGAGAGACCGAUAGCGAACAAGUACUGUGAAGGAAAGGUGAAAAGAACCGCGAACAGCGGAGUGAAAUAGAACCUGAAACCAUGUGCUUACAAGCGGUUGGAGUCCUGAUUUAUCAGGAUGACAGCGUGCCUUUUGCAUAAUGAGCCUACGAGUUACUCCUCUCUGGCAAGGUUAAUCCCGUGUACGGGAGCAGCCGAAGCGAAAGCAAGUCUUAAUAGGGCGAAUAGUCAGAGGGGGUAGACGCGAAACCUUGUGAUCUACCCUUGGUCAGGAUGAAGGAAGGGUAACACCUUCUGAAGGUCCGAACUGGUAAACGUUGAAAAGUUUUCGGAUGAACUGAGGGUAGGGGUGAAAGGCUAAUCAAACUGGGAAAUAGCUCGUACUCCCCGAAAUGUUUUUAGGAACAGCCUCGAUUCAAUUGUCAUAGAGGUAGAGCUACUAAUUGGGCUAGGGGGCUUCACCGCCUACCAAACCCAGAUAAACUCCGAAUGCUAUUGACAUAUAAUCGGGAGUGAGGCUCCGGGUGCUAAGGUCCGGGGCCAAAAGGGAAACAACCCAGACCAUCAGCUAAGGUCCCUAAAUAUAUACUAAGUUGAUAAAACGUGGUCUGAUUGCUUUGACAGCUAGGAUGUUUGCUUGGAAGCAGCAAUUCAUUUAAAGAGUGCGUAACAGCUCACUAGUCGAGCGAUCGGGCGUGGAUAAUAAACGGGCAUUAAGUAUAUUACCGAAGCUAUGGUCUCGUCAGCAAUGACGAGAGGUAGGGGAGCAUUCCAGCGGCACUGAAGAUUUUGUGUAAACAAAAUUGGAGCUUCUGGAAAAGCAAAUGUAGGCAUAAGUAACGAUAAUGCAGGUGAAAAACCUGCACACCGUAAGACUAAGGUUUCCUGAUCAAUGCUAAUCAGAUCAGGGUUAGUCGGGGCCUAAGGAUAAUCCGAAAGGAAAUGCCGAUGGACAACUGGUUAAUAUUCCAGUACUGGUUAUUGUAGUGAUGGAACUACGAAGAAGUGAAAGGUCUGCGCACUGACGGAUAUGUGCGUUAAAGCCCGUAGAUAUAAAUUAUACAGGAAAAUCCGUAUAGUUUGUCGAAGGUGACAGUACCACAAGUCUUCGGACAAGUGGAUAAUGACCCUAAACAGGCUUCCAAGAAACAUUCCUAAACUUAUACAAUAACUACCCGUACCGUAAUCCGACACAGGUAGUCGAGGAGAGAAUCCUAAGGUGCUCGAGUGAAUCAUGGCUAAGGAACUCGGCAAAUUAACCCUGUAACUUCGGGAUAAAGGGUGCCACGCGCAAGCGUGGCCGCAGUGAAAUGGCCCAGGCGACUGUUUAACAAAAACACAUGGCUUUGCUAAAUCGAAAGAUUACGUAUAAGGCCUGACACCUGCCCGGUGCUGGAAGGUUAAGAGGAGAUGUCAGAAGCAAUUCAAAGCAUUGAAUCGAAGCCCCAGUAAACGGCGGCCGUAACUAUAACGGUCCUAAGGUAGCGAAAUUCCUUGUCGGGUAAGUUCCGACCUGCACGAAUGGUGUAACGAUCUGGGCACUGUCUCAGCCAUGAGCUCGGUGAAAUUGUAGUAUCGGUGAAGAUGCCGAUUACCCGCAACGGGACGGAAAGACCCCGUGCACCUUCACUACAACUUUGCAUUGAGUUUGGGUAAUUGAUGUGUAGGAUAGGUGGGAGACUUUGAAGUGGUGGCGCCAGCAUCAUGGAGUCAACCUUGAAAUACCACCCUUUAAUUAUUUGAAUUCUAAUCCCGUAAUACGGGAGACAGUGCAUGGUGGGUAGUUUGACUGGGGUGGUCGCCUCCAAAAGAGUAACGGAGGCUUUCAAAGGUACCCUCAGCACGCUUGGUAACCGUGCGUAGAGUGCAAUAGCAUAAGGGUGCUUGACUGUGAGACCGACAAGUCGAGCAGGAACGAAAGUUGGAUAUAGUGAUCCGGUGGUUCCGCAUGGAAGGGCCAUCGCUCAAAGGAUAAAAGGUACGCCGGGGAUAACAGGCUGAUCUCCCCCAAGAGCUCACAUCGACGGGGAGGUUUGGCACCUCGAUGUCGGCUCGUCACAUCCUGGGGCUGGAGAAGGUCCCAAGGGUUGGGCUGUUCGCCCAUUAAAGUGGCACGCGAGCUGGGUUCAGAACGUCGUGAGACAGUUCGGUCCCUAUCUGUUGUGGGCGUAGGAAGUUUGAGAGGAGCUGACUCUAGUACGAGAGGACCGAGUUGGACGAACCUCUAGUGUACCUGUUGUGGCGCCAGCUGCACCGCAGGGUAGCUACGUUCGGUUAAGAUAAGCGCUGAAAGCAUCUAAGCGCGAAACUUGCCUCAAGAUAAGACUUCUUUAUAAGGGUCGUUAAAGACUAUAACGUUGAUAGGUUGCAAGUGUAAAGGCAGUAAUGCCAAAGCUGAGCAAUACUAAUUACCCGAGACUUUUAUUG
rfam:Bacteroidetes bacterium OLB10 TZ10_BCD003CONTIG000048, whole genome shotgun sequence.